CUUCAUCACCCUGUUAUAGGCAAUUCAUGUCUGUGUGAGUUGCAACAUAUCGGUAAAUGAAAACCUUAUUCGUAUUCUAUCUGGUAACGAGACCACACGGGUUUUACGAGACUGAGCGUGGAGAACAUUACAUUUUGGCGACGAGGAUAGAAAUGGCGAACCCGUUUGAGAUGAUUCGAUCGCUUGGGCUGCAGCUACAAUCGUUUGACUAUGCGUCGCACACCGAUGAUGUCGGCAUCGAGUGGCGCAAGUGGUUGAGAUCGUUCGAAACGAUGACCCGAGCAAGCCGAAUCGAUGAUGAGGACUGGAAGAAGGAUUUGCUGCUGCACUACGCGGGUCCGAGUGUUCAGCAGCUAUUCGAUACAUUACCUGAAGUACCAGGAACUGGCAUGCGUGGGCCAUUGUCAAAUAUUGAACACUACACACCGAAUAUGACCAGCUAUGAAGAAGCCAGAGCCAAGCUAAACGAUUUUUUCCUGCCGAAAGAAAAUUCCACUUACGAACGGCAUUUACUACGGCAAAUGAAACAACGAACUGGUGAAAAUAUCGACACAUUCACCAUCAGAUUGCGAGUGCAGGCAGAACGUUGUGGUUUCGGUGAUAGAGUGGAAGAAAAUAUCAAGGAUCAAAUAAUCCAGAACUGCCAGUCGGCCGCGCUACGCCGCGAUUUGCUUAAACGAGGAGAUGCAAGUCUCGAUGAGGUGUUGGGCAUCGCCAAGAUUUUCGAGACUGUCGCUCAACAAGAAAAGUCAUUUGGCUGUGGAAGUGAAUUGAAGUCUAACGCCAAUGAUGUCAAUAAGAUCGAAGCUACAUCUUACGAGAAAAGGAAGAAAUUCAACGAUCCAAAACAGCUUCAAUGUCAUCGUUGCGGAUAUUUCGGACACAUCGCCAAAGAUGACAGAUGUCCUGCAAAAGGAAAGCUGUGUAAUAAAUGUAGUGGCAGAGACCAUUUCGCAAAGAAGUGCCGUAGCAAGCAAUCGAGGAGCGAACCGAAGAGAAUGGAUGGAAACCGAAAAUUCGGAAGUCAACAAACCGUCGAAACUUCCAAUACAGACCGUAAGGACGACGAAACGAACAUGGUAAAGCAAAUAACCAAUGAACAUAUUGAAUACAUUUUUAACGUGACGUCAUCGGAUAGCAACCAUGAAAUGCUUUGUGAAAUUGGUGGCGUUGCUGUAUUGGCCGUAAUCGACUCCGGUUCCAAGUAUAAUCUGCUAAGUCAGUCGAAUUGGGAAGAAUUAAAAGACAAGAAAGUGAUUGUAUCAAACCAACGAAGAGAAGCACCUAUGGUAUUCAAAGCUUAUGGGGGACAAUCCCUGCCGUUGAUCGGCGUGUUCACUGCUACGAUCAAAUUAGGCACCGCGAGCGAUUCGGCUGAGUUCUAUGUCGUAAAAGGGAAUGGCAAAAUCUUGAUCGGCCGGGAUACAGCAAUAGCUAUGGGUGUUUUGAAGAUUGGCAUACCUGUCGAUAAUGUGGAGGCCGACGUUGAAUGCAAGAAACUAGGAACAAUCAGAGAUAUUAUUGUUGAUAUCCCGAUUAAAUCCGAUGCUAUACCAGUUGUUCAACCAUAUCGGCGCAUACCGGUGGCUUUAGAGAAGAUGGUCGAUAAGAAGCUUGACGAAUUGCUAAACCAGCAUGUCAUCGAACCUGUGAAUGGACCGGCAAAGUAGUCGUGGUGCCGAAGGGUGACGACGGUGAUGUACGCAUAUGUGUCGACAUGCGACGGGCAAACGAAGCUGUGGAAAGAGAAAAUCACCCUUUACCAACUUUUGAAGAUUUUCUGCCACAUUUGACGAAAGCAAAGGUUUUCUCCCGUCUGGACGUGAAGAAUGCUUUCCACCAGGUAGAAAUAUCAAAGAGAUCCCGCGAAAUAACGACGUUUAUCACACGAAAAGGUUUGUUUCGCUAUACUAGACUAAUGUUUGGUAUAAAUUGCGCGCCUGAACUAUUCCAAAAGAUAAUGGAACAAGUUCUGAGCGGAUGCGAAGGGUGCUUGAUUUAUAUUGGCGAUGUUAUUGUGCACGGAUCUGAUCAGAAUGAGCAUGACAUGAGAUUGGAAAAGGCUCUUCGACGACUAGAUGAGUGGAAUGUGGUCCUGAAUAAAAGCAAAUGUAUUUAUGGGGUGUCUGAAAUUAAUGUUUUGGGACACGUUUUGUCAGCGGAUGGAAUCAAACCAGAUGAGGAUAAGUUAGAAUCCGUUCGUCGUUUCCGAGAACCAAAAUCUGGAGAAGAGGUUAGAAGUUUCCUGGGUCUGGUGAAUUAUCUUAGCAAAUUUAUUCCCGAUCUAGCGACAUUGACGCAUCCACUACGAGAGUUAACGAUCCAUAAACGAAAAUUUAUCUGGGGAUUGCAGCAGAAAGCAGCAUUUAUGAAAUUGAAGGAGCACAUGGUUUGCCCUACAACACUGGGAUAUUUCGAUGAUUCUGAUCGUACGCAAUUGGUAGCUGAUGCUAGCCCGGUUGG